rnacentral:rRNA from 1 species
GGAUCAAUAUGUUGGUCGUGCCUUGGUACGUACUAGUUUAUUGGUUUCUUCCUUCUGACGAACCAUGAUGUCAUUAAUUUGGUGUCUUGGGGAAUCAGGACUGUUACCUUGAAAAAAUUAGAGUGUUUAAAGCAGGCUCACGCUUGAAUACAUUAGCAUGGAAUAAUGAAAUAGGACGUUUGAUUCUAUUUUGUUGGUUUUUAGGAACGAAGUA